UACGAAGGGUGCAAGCGUUACUCGGAAUCACUGGGCGUAAAGCGUGCGUAGGCGGUCCGUUAAGUCGGAUGUGAAAGCCCCCGGCUCAACCGGGGAAGUGCAUCCGAAACUGGCAGGCUAGAGUACGAAAGAGGGUCGCGGAAUUCCCGGUGUAGAGGUGGAAUGCGUAGAGAUGCGGAGGAACACCGAUGGCGAAGGCAGCCCCCUGGGCCAAUACUGACGCUCAGGCACGAAAGCGUGGGGAGCAAACAGG
rnacentral:rRNA from 1 species